AGCGAACGCUGGCGGCAGGCCUAACACAUGCAAGUCGAGCGGAUGACGGGAGCUUGCUCCUUGAUUCAGCGGCGGACGGGUGAGUAAUGCCUAGGAAUCUGCCUGGUAGUGGGGGACAACGUUUCGAAAGGAACGCUAAUACCGCAUACGUCCUACGGGAGAAAGCAGGGGACCUUCGGGCCUUGCGCUAUCAGAUGAGCCUAGGUCGGAUUAGCUAGUAGGUGAGGUAAUGGCUCACCUAGGCGACGAUCCGUAACUGGUCAGAGAGGAAGAUCAGAGACACUGGAACUAAGAAAAGGUCCAGAUUACUACAGGUGGCAGCAGUGGGGAAUAUUGGACAAUGGGCGAAAGCCUGAUCCAGCCAUGCCGCGUGUGUGAUGAAGGUCUUCGGAUUGUAAAGCACUUUAAGUUGGGAGGAAGGGCAGUAAGCUAAUACCUUGCUGUUUUGACGUUACCGACAAAAUAAGCACCGGCUAACUCUGUGCCAGCAGCCGCCGCGGUAA
rnacentral:rRNA from 1 species